rnacentral:misc_RNA from 1 species
UUUUUUUUUUCUUACUAUUUCUUCUAUCAUAUAACAUUACUACAUUAGAAUUUCAUAUCUUUCACCAAAAGCAAACUGGAAUUGGUUGAAUUGAUCCUAAUAAUUUAUUUAUAAAUUUUUUGAACUUGGUAACUUCAUCAUAGUUUUAUAUUACCUAUAUCUCUAAUGAUUUGACUUAUUCUAAUAAAUAUUUUAUUAAAUCUAUGACACUUGACUCCACUCCCUUCUCCAAUCUGAUUAUCAGAUCAGUUUUAAAUAAUGAGAGGCAAACCUGCAGAAGAACUUUGAUUCUAAACAUUGACACUAUGUGUGCAAUCACCCAUUUGUUCAUGAGUUCUAAUCCUCUAUAAAAUUCUAGGAGCAUGUGCUGAUACUUGACAAGUCAAUAGAACAACUUUUUGCAGGAAGAAACCCUUUAAGAUGCUUACUCAGUAGCCACUGUGGGGGGUGGUGUGGGGG